GCUUAAUUAGUAUAAAAAUUACAUUUGACUUCCAAUCAAAAAAUCUAAACCUUAGAUUAAACA
rnacentral:tRNA from 1 species